UACGAGAGGUGCAAGCGUUACUCGGAAUCACUGGGCGUAAAGCGCACGUAGGCGGAUUUGUAUGUCAAUUGUGAAAGCCCUAGGCUCAACCUAGGAAUCGCAGUUGAAACUGCAUUUCUUGAAUACUUGAGAGGGUGGGGGAAUACCUAGUGGAGAAGUGAAAUUCGUAGAGAUUAGGUGGAACACCAGAGGCGAAGGCGCCUGCCUGGCAAUGUAUUGACGCUGAGGUGCGAAAGUGCGGGGAGCAAACAGG
rnacentral:rRNA from 1 species